GUAGGGAAUCUUCCACAAUGGACGAAAGUCUGAUGGAGCAACGCCGCGUGAGUGAAGAAGGUCUUCGGAUCGUAAAACUCUGUUGUUAGAGAAGAACGUGCAUGAUAGUAACUGAUCAUGUAAUGACGGUAUCUAACCAGAAAGCCACGGCUAACUACGUGCCAGCAGCCGCGGUAAUACGUAGGUGGCAAGCGUUGUCCGGAUUUAUUGGGCGUAAAGGGAACGCAGGCGGUUUUUUAAGUCUGAUGUGAAAGCCUUCGGCUUAACCGAAGAAUAGCAUUGGAAACUGGAAGACUUGAGUGCAGAAGAGGAGAGUGGAAUUCCAUGUGUAGCGGUGAAAUGCGUAGAUAUCUGGAGGAACAUCAGUGGCGAAGGCGGCCACCUGGACCGGUAUUGACGCUGAGGUGCGAAAGCGUGGGGAGCAAACAGGAUUAGAAACCCGAGUAGUCC
rnacentral:rRNA from 1 species